GACUAAAACGAUUUUAAAGACGUUAUCACGUCAAAAAAAACAAAACAAAAAAAAAAUACUAAGUUACUGGAAAAAUAAAUCAUAUUUAUUCAUACGGAUAUCCGUAUGAAUAGACGCAGCCUAUUUUUAAUUUGUCGUUGGUUUUAUAAAUAAGAAUAUUAUGUAUCGUGAAAUUUGCACUAGUUUUAAUAAACUUUUAUGAAAUGGUUAGAACAAUAACUGCUUUGGAUUAAUCUUCCUUUGUACGAUCGCUACAUUUUCCGGAUAAAGAAAAUAAUAUGUUGUCUCGCCACUGACUUAAAUUUACUUAUCUGAUUAAAAAAUUUUAUGCCCGAUCAUGAACCUUUUUUGCUGAUUAUUAUAGUAAAAUGGCGAAUAAGAAGUAAACAAAACAUUAGGUCUGUCAAGGGUCUGUCAAGUGGGAGCAUAGCACAUCUGACGGACAACUUCAACCGAGUAUAUAACGUUUUAAAUGAAACAAUUAUCUAGUAAAUAAUAAGAUUCCGACAUUGGCUGCGGUGCAGUGUGUGUUCGGUGUCACGAACGCCACUAUGGGCUCCUUCUACGUGGGGUUGCUGCUACUGAUGGUAUUGAACAUGAUUUUGCGAUCUGAAGAAGCACAGUCCACUUUUAACUCUAGCAGUGAGUUUGACGAGGAAGAGAGUGACUCUGUUGCUUACAUGGUACCUACACGCAAAGUACACCUUUCUAGUAUGUGAAUAAAUAAAUCAGUUUUACUUAUAAACUGCUUUUACGCCUACCAACUUAGAAUAAAAACCGCCAGAGAAUAAAAUGUAGACUAUGCUUAAUAUGUUAUCGCUCGAGGUUGUGGGAUUAGCGAGAGAAAAAUAUGCGGUAAGAUCUAAAAACAUUGACCUGGCCGAAAGGCGAAUAUGAAGCAGUUUAAAGUUUGAGGUUUUAAGCGAAGUAUGUUCACCGCCAUUUAUAUGGCCAUUUUAGGUUUUGUUAUAUAAAAGCAUUAAAACCGCUCGUCUCCGGCAAUAAUGAAUUGGUAGUGGCUUAUUCUAUGAUAUGAGAGAUCUUUUGAGACACUUUUAAUUUAAUUUAGACGUUUUAAAGCCUCUUUCCGUGAACGGCAGAUAAUAGUUGAGCACGGGGAGGGACAGCGAUGUGCGGGCUCUCUCGUCUCGCUGCGCACGGCGCUGUCAAGUGCGCGAUGCCUGCGGCUUAGCACCCCGCGCGCCACGCUCUGGGCGUUGGCGGCGGCGCUGGUCGUAGGCCACGGAACGGUGCGUGCUGCGGAUGGAGCUCGGCGUGUAAUUCGGGUGGCGUACGCCGGCACCGACUCCGCCGAUCCCGCCAACGACUUAGCUCUCCUCGCCAUCGACGAGCCGUUCGGCGAAAGCGCGCAGUCGCGUCCAAUCCUUAUGGCGACAGCGGCGGGCGUGUGUGACGCGGCGCAGGAUUGCAAUGCGGUGCGCGCACUGUCUCGGAACAACGCGCACGGCGCGCAGGCUUUGCUCUUGCGCGUGAUUAGCGUGCACCGGGCACCACACGCCGUAUGUAACGCGCGCGUGCCUCACUGGGCCGCUCUCAAAGACCGUUCGCUUUGCCUGAAAGGAGAAACACUCUGCGAGGCAAGUAAUGUUGUACUGUUUUCAAAAGUAGAAGAAUUUUAGCUUUAUUUCCGUUCAUUUUAACUUACAAAUUUGAUAAAUGGCUUGGAAAUGGUAAUAUACAGAACAAGUAUAUUUUAAGUGGUCUACAUAGAACGAUGUGGGCGGUGGUGUUGUGUGUGCCGGCCUGCUUUGCGGCGUACUCAGCGCGGUGGGUGCGAACAAAGCGGCGGACGAAAGGUGCGGUGAUACAUUUGGAGCGCUGACUGUAGCGCGUUGGCGUCGCUUUUUGCAUUGUGCCCACACACAGCGACUGUGCGGCAGAGGUGACUGUGCGUCAUUAUGCACGGAGUACUGGUUAGACGGCUCCGACGAGUCCUCUCCGGCCGCAUCACUUGGCUCACCCAUUCAGACUCUCGUGGAAGAUGUUAAUCACGCUCUGACAGCGCCAGUUCGUUCAUCAUCACAUUACAACAAACUUGAGAGGAAGGCUACGCAGCUUUUCGUAACAGACCACAACAGUGGAAGCACUAGCAGCCCUAUGAGUACUGGCAGAAGUACAAGCAGCCGCGCUGCCGUUCAGGCGAGCCCUACGCUGCGACUUCUCUCACGCACGCCGCUCAUUUAUGAACUCAGGCCUUCUGCUGACUUUGAACCCAAUCGAGCCGAUUUUAAGAGGUCCCGCGUGUCGCUCAGCACACUAGCACUGUCCUCAAUGCGCUUGAAGGCGGGCGAGUACGGUGACAACGCGGUGGAUUACGGAGCUCCGCCGGACGAAGCCCUGCCCUCGUCGUCUUCGCUCGUGCCCACCCUUCGGCGAUACGUCUCCAGCCGUCACACGAGCCCUGGUUCCGCUUCGCCUUACCGCCACUGGGUGGACCCACUGGCCCAACCUCAGACUGACACCCAUAAAAAGAAAUUGAAGACAUCGAAUGCCAGUAGCACUAAUGACAUUAACAUUGGAAUUCUGAUUACAAUUCCCACUUUAGUUACUAUAAACAGAUAGAUUUGUAUAAUAUGUACUCUGUAAUGUUCUGAUGCUCAAUAAUAUAUUUGAAAUCC